UUUGUAGAAGUCUACAAUUUGUGCAGGAGUAAAGGCAGGACGAGUAGGAUCAUCAAGGCUUGGGGUGGCUAACAAAGCUGUUAUGAGUCCACCAGUGCCAGUCCCUCCUAUCACAUCAAAGUAAUGUGCUAAAUCUGCAUUUGGA
rnacentral:sRNA from 1 species